GGACUUGUGGCGCAAUCGGUUAGCGCGUUCGGCUGUUAACCGAAAGGUUGGUGGUUCAAGCCCACCCAGGUCCG